rnacentral:lncRNA from 1 species
GCCCCGCGACCGCGCGCGCCUCCUCGUCCUCCCCCGCGCCUUUGUUUCCGUCUCCUUCUCCUUUCCCUCCUCUUUUGUGUCGGGCCAGACUCAGCCCCAGAAACCAGCCACCCUGCCGCGUCCGACUGCCAGGGAUCCCUCACGCCGCGAGUACCAGAGAUGUCUCCAAGAGCACCAGCAACCCCAGCUAUCUGGAUCUGAAGUGGAUAUGCUCAGAGACAUCCUGGCCCACCCCAAAGAAGAUGCUGCUGCACUCAGAAGACGCCAGAGCUAGCCACCACCCACACUGCAAGUCUGGAAGCUCUGCAAGGACCCAGCAAGGCAGCCUGCUCAGCGAAGGCUUUGUCUCCUGUGGCAGGAAGAGCAACAUUAAGAACAAGAACCCCGGGCUGGACUACCCCUGAGAUUUAAUGACCAGAGCUGAGACCCCCAAGACCACAAUGACUAUGGAGGGCUGUCAUUACCCUGCCUGACCCUCUAAUGCCUCUCAGUUCAAGGAGGCCACUGAGUGAAACUGAAGGCUGGUUUUCCUUGGAAGCCAGCGGCCCAUCCACCUGCUCCACUUCCCUGCCUCUUGCAGCCUCCGCUCAAACACUGUCGUGGCUUGGCAGCACUACAAGGCAGAUAUUUCAGGGGCUGCCAAGCUGCUCUCCUGUUUCCUCUUCCUUGGGGCUGAUUGCAUCCCAUGAUGUGCCCAGGUUUUGAGAUGCUCCUCGUGAAUGAAAAUAGGACUGUCUGGUUCCUCCAUCCAUAGCAAGGGAGCCUAGACAGAAAUAACUUCUGUGCAUUUCUCCAGCUACAUUUAGGGAAAACUAGAAAAUACAGAAAUAUAUCAAGAAGAAAAAAAA